UACAGAGGUCUCGAGCGUUGUUCGGAUUCAUUGGGCGUAAAGGGUGCGUAGGCGGCGAGGCAAGUCUGAUGUGAAAUCCCGGGGCUCAACCCCGGAACUGCAUUGGAUACUGCCCUGCUAGAGUACUGGAGAGGAGAUUGGAAUUUACGGUGUAGCAGUGAAAUGCGUAGAUAUCGUAAGGAAGACCAGUGGCGAAGGCGAAUCUCUGGACAGUUACUGACGCUGAGGCACGAAGGCCAGGGGAGCAAACGGG
rnacentral:rRNA from 1 species